GGGAAAUCAUCUGGGCCACGUCUUCAUGCUUGUUCCAUUUGGUGAUGGUAAGGAGCUUUGCCAAAGCUUGUGGAUAUUGGUCACGGAUAUCAUAUCUCAUCUUCCACACCAGAUCUUUCUCAUGCUCAUAGAGCUCAGUGUGGUUCCUCCGCUCCAGUAUUUCCUUCAGUUGCAGCUUCUCCUCUGGAUCUUCUGGUGCAGAGCGGGGUUGUUCUCC
rnacentral:lncRNA from 1 species